UAAAAUAUUAGGUUGAUGCAAAAGUACUCACGGUUUUUGCCAUUACAAUUUCAAUGGCAAAAACUGUGAUUACUUUUGCAUCAACCUAAUAAUUAGCAUGAAUGGG
rnacentral:miRNA from 1 species